GACGAACGCUGGCGGCGUGCCUAAUACAUGCAAGUCGAGCGCAGGAAGCUGACGGAACUCUUCGGAGGGAAGGCAGUGGAAUGAGCGGCGGACGGGUGAGUAACACGUAAGGAACCUGCCUCAAGGAUUGGGAUAACUCCGAGAAAUCGGAGCUAAUACCGGAUAGUUCAACGGACCGCAUGGUCCGCUGAUGAAAGGCGCUCCGGCGUCACCUUGAGAUGGCCUUGCGGUGCAUUAGCUAGUUGGUGGGGUAACGGCCCACCAAGGCGACGAUGCAUAGCCGACCUGAGGGGGUGAUCGGCCACACUGGGACUGAGACACGGCCCAGACUCCUACGGGAGGCAGCAGUAGGGAAUCUUCCACAAUGGACGAAAGUCUGAUGGAGCAACGCCGCGUGAGUGAUGAAGGUUUUCGGAUCGUAAAACUCUGUUGUAAGGGAAGAACACGUACGAGAGGAAAUGCUCGUACCUUGACGGUACCUUACGAGAAAGCCACGGCUAACUACGUGCCAGCCGCCGCUGUAAAAC
rnacentral:rRNA from 1 species